UUGUUGGUAAGGUAAAAGCUUACCAAGGCUUCGAUCAGUAGCUGGUCUGAGAGGACGACCAGCCACACUGGGACUGAGACACGGCCCAGACUCCUACGGGAGGCAGCAGUGGGGAAUUUUGGACAAUGGGGGCAACCCUGAUCCAGCCAUGCCGCGUGAGUGAAGAAGGCCUUCGGGUUGUAAAGCUCUUUCAGCCGGAACGAAACGGUUACGGAUAACACCCGUGACUACUGACGGUACCGGAAGAAGAAGCACCGGCUAACUACGUGCCAGCAGCCGCGGUAAUACGUAGGGUGCGAGCGUUAAUCGGAAUUACUGGGCGUAAAGCGUGCGCAGGUGGUUUUGUAAGUCAGAUGUGAAAGCCCCGGGCUCAACCUGGGAACUGCGUUUGAAACUACAAGACUAGAGUGUGGCAGAGGGGGGUGGAAUUCCGCGUGUAGCAGUGAAAUGCGUAGAGAUGUGGAGGAACACCGAUGGCGAAGGCAGCCCCCUGGGUCAACACUGACGCUCAGGCACGAAAGCAUGGGGAGCAAACAGGAUUAGAUACCCUGGUAGUCCAUGCCCUAAACGAUGUCAACUAGUUGUCGGGCCUUUACGGGCUUGGUAACGUAGCUAACGCGUGAAGUUGACCGCCUGGGGAGUACGAUCGCAAGAUUAGAACUCAAAUGAAUUGACGGGGACCCGCACAAGCGGUGGAUUAUGUGGAUUAAUUCGAUGCAACGCGAAAAACCUUACCUACCCUUGACAUGUAUCGAAGCCCGCAGAAAAGCGGGGGUGCCCGAAAGGGAACGAUAACACAGGUGCUGCAUGGCUGUCGUCAGCUCGUGUCGUGAGAUGUUGGGUUAAGUCCCGCAACGAGCGCAACCCUUGUCAUUAAUUGCCAUCAUUUAGUUGGGCACUUUAAUGAGACUGCCGG
rnacentral:rRNA from 1 species